CUUCCCCUUUUUCUGUCCUGGGAGGAAAAAAGGGAAGGCCUCCUUCCCUACGUGAUUGCGUCUCGCCAAUUUUAUUUGCGCAUUUUCUCCAGGAUGCUUUUCAGGUUGGGAGAAACUGGGACCUAUUUAAAUGCUGAAGAAAAGGCUUACCAGAGAAGAGCUGACGAUUCAGAAGAAGGGACGGGAGGCAAUCUAGGCCGGGGUGGUGACAUACCAUCGUCUACCAACAUAGCUCCACGUGGCCCAAGAUGACAGUUUGAGCUACAGCGAUUUUGUCUGAGGCGACUUCCAGAAGUUCCCUGUGACGCUUCUUACAUCUCAGUGGCUAUACCUACCCCCAUGGCCACAUCGGCUGAAAGGGAGGUGAGGAAAUCCAGGCUUUGGACAGAGCUACAGUUUCUGUUACUAAAGGAGUAAGACAUAGAUACCAGGACAUUAGGAACAGUCUGUGCCAUAAAGGGAAGUGGGAGGGACCAGGUGGUUUGUCUGUUGAGGUAGAGUCUGGAAAGAUUCAGGCAUUGGAGCCCAGCCCACUGCGUUCUAAUCCCUACCCAUAUCCUGUCACCUGUGUGACCUUGAACAAGCCUUUACGGUAUCCUCUGUAAAAUGGGAGUGACAGUCUACCUGGCCGAAUGACUGCAAGGAUUGAAUGAGAUGCCGUGGAAGGACCUGACCUGUGGCAGCCCCUUUGUUACAUGUGUGUUACAUGUUUGUUACAUGUUUGUUACAUUUAAAUUAAAAAAAAUUUUUUUUUUCACGAUGAGAAACACACCCUGAGGACCUGCUGUGUUCAUAGUAUUUCUUUCUCACUCCAACCAGCUAUUACGAUCAUCCUUACUUUGUCAAACAGGAAACUCCAGUUCAGCAAGUCACCCAACAAAUAGACGCUAGGAUUUGAAUCCAGGUCCUGUGACUGUGAUGUUGUGAUACCAUGAGAAAUAUACAUUCGGUCUUCA